rnacentral:lncRNA from 1 species
AUAUUUCUGUUCUUUAAGUCACUUAGUCUGUGGUUCUUUGUUAUGGGAGCCUCGUAAACGAACAGGUUAGAGGUUGUCUUGUCCCAUAAGGACUGUCUUUGGUUUACCAGGCUGCCAGAACCCGUUGAGGACAAAGAACCGGUGUGGCCUGAUGCUUCCAGAAGAGGAAGGAGUCCUUCAUCAUUGGGCCUGUGGACCCUGGGGUCUCUAGGAUGCCUUACCGUGGACCACCUUGACCAGUCUGGAAGCUUUCUGCCUCUGCCUCUUCCCCAUUUGUCUUUUGGAGUUGCUCUCUGAACAAGGGGCCUGCUUCCAGCUUCACCCUGCAGGACUCCCCACCGGCGUCAGCACCUCCACACAGGGGACCCCCAAGGCCCACACCCUUGCUCCCCUUCCCCUGGGUCUACCCAGCAGUCAGAUCUCUGCCUUCCUUCUAAAGGAAGCAUCGCUGAACCGCCACCCCCCUCCCCCCCACCACUCCAAAGUAAGGCCUUCUGUUUUGUACACACUGUACCCCUUGUGAAAUACUCCUCAGGC